ACAGAGGAUCAGCCAAAAUGGCAGCAUAGAAAGACACUGAGUGAACCUCUUCUCAUGGGCAAACAGAAAUUGCGACUAUUAACAGCAAUGAAAAAGACUGGAACCUGCCAGAAAAGACUUUUUACAGCUGAAGAUAAAAAGAAGGAACCACAACAAGAUAGGUGGGAUGAGUUGAGGAAUAGUCAAGCCCCACACCUCCAGGGCACAAAAUCUCACAUGCUCUGGGGCUCAGGGCGGAAGUAGUAAUUUGAAAAGAACCUGGGUCAGACUUACCAGAUACUUUUGACGAGUCUCCAAGAGAAGCAAGAGGCAACUGGAGCUCACUCUGGGGACACGGACACUGGAAGAAGCCCUUAUUGAGAGUUUGUUCUCCCACAUGGACACUGGGGCUGGUCAACACCAUUCUGGAAUCCUCCCUUUAGCUUACUGAUCUUGGGACCCAGCUCAACUCCACACCCAGUACUGUAAUACCUCAGGCCAAGCAACUAAUAAGCAACUCACAGCCCUGCCCAGAAGAGAGACUGCCUUAAAACUCCCUGAGCCCACAGCUUCCCACAGACACAGCUGUGCCAACCAGAGGGUCCAGGACCUGAACCACACACUGGUAUGCAGGCCCUAGACUCGGGACCCCCAGGGCCCUGCAGCUAGAGACCCUGCAACCCAGCUCCAUCCACAAGUGGGCAGGCAUCAGCCCCCAAAUACCAAGCACCAACUACCAUAAAGCCUGUCCUCA